GGUAAUGGUCGACAUAGCCUUACUUGCAGAGGACUGAAAUCCUU
rnacentral:tRNA from 1 species